rnacentral:misc_RNA from 1 species
CCUUCGUCAUUCAUUCUCUGCAUAACAGAAUAAUGAGAAACAACGGCAAUUUGCUUCUCCAGAACUUAUCGAUUAUUGCUUCUCUCUCCCUUUCCUUAUUGCUCCACCACCUCAUCAUCUGCCUCGCUGUAUCGAAUUCACCACCUUCUGAUAUUCCCGAUCUCAAUUACGUAACUCUUGCUUGUGGCUUAGCCAGUGACACUAAAGCACUAGAUGGCCGAACCUGGACUGCAGACACCAAUUCAAAAUUCUUCUCUUCACAGCAAAAUAAUGCAUCAAGAGCAGUUGAAUCUCCUCCCAGUAAAUUCGUCACUGAUCUACCUUACACAACUGCUCGCAUAUCUCGC